UGGGGAAUAUUGGACAAUGGGGGCAACCCUGAUCCAGCAAUGCCGCGUGUGUGAAGAAGGCCUUCGGGUUGUAAAGCACUUUAGGCGGGGAAGAAGGUGAGUAUUUUAAGAGAUAACUCAUUUGACGGUACCCGCAGAAUAAGCACCGGCUAACUCUGUGCCAGCAGCCGCGGUAAUACAGAGGGUGCAAGCGUUAAUCGGAUUUACUGGGCGUAAAGGGCGCGUAGGUGGUUAUUUAAGUGAGAUGUGAAAUCCCCGGGCUCAACCUGGGAACUGCAUCUUAUACUGGGUAACUGGAGUACAUGAGAGGGUAGUGGAAUUUCCGGUGUAGCGGUGAAAUGCGUAGAUAUCGGAAGGAACACCAGUGGCGAAGGCGGCUACCUGGCAUGAUACUGACACUGAGGCGCGAGAGCGUGGGGAGCAAACAGGAUUAGAUACCCGCGUAGUCC
rnacentral:rRNA from 1 species